rnacentral:tRNA from 2 species
AGCGGGGUAGAGGAAUUGGUCAACUCAUCAGGCUCAUGACCUGAAGACUGCAGGUUCGAAUCCUGCCCCCGCCU